UGCUAGUUGUACGAGUUGAGACUCGUAGCGGAGAGCUCAGUAACACGUGGUCAAGCUACCCUGUAGCGACGGAUAACCUCGGGAAACUGAGGCUAAUACGUCAUAACGCUCGAUAUCUGGAGUGAUUCGAGCUGGAAACGCCUUUGGUGCUACAGGAUGCGACUGCGAUCGAUUAGGUAGACGGUGGGGUAACGGCCCACCGUGCCCAUAAUCGGUACGGGUUGUGAGAGCAAGAGCCCGGAGACGGUAUCUGAGACAAGAUACCGGGCCCUACGGGGCGCAGCAGGCGCGAAACCUUUACACUGUACGGAAGUGCGAUAGGGGGACUCCGAGUGUGUGGGCAUAGAGCUCACACUUUUGUAGACCGUAAGGUGGUCUACGAAUAAGAGCUGGGCAAGACCGGUGCCAGCCGCCGCGGUAAUACCGGCAGCUCGAGUGAUGACCGAUUUUAUUGGGCCUAAAGCGUCCGUAGCUGGCCAGGCAAGUCCGUUGGGAAAUCCACCUGCUUAACAGGUGGGCGUCCAGCGGAAACUGCUUGGCUUGGGACCGGAAGAUCCAAGGGGUACGUCCGGGGUAGGAGUGAAAUCCUGUAAUCCUGGACGGACCGCCGAUGGCGAAAGCACCUUGGAAGGACGGAUCCGACAGUGAGGGACGAAAGCUAGGGUCUCGAACCGGAUUAGAUACCCGGGUAGUCCUAGCUGUAAACGAUGUCCGCUAGGUGUGGCACAGGCUACCAGCCUGUGCUGUGCCGUAAGGAAGCCGAUAAGCGGACCGCCUGGGAAGUACGUCUGCAAGGAUGAAACUUAAAGGAAUUGGCGGGGGAGCACUACAACCGGAGGAGCCUGCGGUUUAAUUGGACUCAACGCCUGACAUCUCACCGGCUCCGACAGUAGUAAUGACGGUCAGAUUGACGAUCUUACCCGAUGCUACUGAGAGGAGGUGCAUGGGCGCCGUCAGCUCGUACCGUGAGGCGUCCUGUUAAGUCAGGCAACGA
rnacentral:rRNA from 1 species